AACGAACGCUGGCGGCAGGCUUAACACAUGCAAGUCGAGCGCCCCGCAAGGGGAGCGGCAGACGGGUGAGUAACGCGUGGGAAUCUACCCAUCUCUACGGAAUAACGCAUGGAAACGUGUGCUAAUACCGUAUACGUCCUUCGGGAGAAAGAUUUAUCGGCGAUGGAUGAGCCGGCGUUGGAUCAGCUAGUUGGUGGGGUAAAGGCCUACCAAGGCAACGAUCCAUAGCUGUGCUGGGAGGAUGAUCAGCCACACUGGGUCUGAGACACGGCCCAGACUGCUACGGGAGGUCGCAGUGGUGAAUAUUGGACAAUGGGCGAAAGCCUGAUCCAGCCAUGCCGCGUGAGUGAUGAAGCCCCUAGGGUUGUAAAGCUCUUUCACCGGUGAAUAUAAUGACGGUAACCGGAGAAGAAGCCCCGGCUAACUUCGUGCCAGCAGCCGCCGUAACAC
rnacentral:rRNA from 1 species